rnacentral:rRNA from 1 species
AUUGAACGCUGGCGGCAGGCCUAACACAUGCAAGUCGAGCGAGCGGCGGACGGGUGAGUAAUGUAUGGGGACUGCCCGAUAGAGGGGGAUAACUACUGGAAACGGUGGCUAAUACCGCAUACUAUCGGAUAACCCAUAUGGGAUUAGCUAGUAGGUGUGGUAAAGGCUCACCUAGGCGACGAUCUCUAGCUGGUCUGAGAGGAUGAUCAGCACCACUGGGACUGUGACACAGCCCAGACUCCUACGGAGGCAGCAGUGGGGAAUAUUGCACAAUGGGCGCAAGCCUGAUACGACCAUGCCGCGUGUAUGAAGAAAGCCUUAGGGUUUUAUAGUACUUUCAGCGGGGAGGCAUUACACACGGAGAAGGCACCGGCUAACUCCGUGCCAGCAGCCGCGGUAAUUC